rnacentral:lncRNA from 1 species
UUAAAAUAGACAUUCACGUAGACAUAUUGGGUAUUCUAAAUUAUUGUGCAAGGAAUAUAAACUCUGACUCUAUUAAUUGCUUCUGCAUUUAAUUUAUGAAUUUUAUUUCCAAUUAAGUUCUGGGCCUUUACAAUUUCAAUCCACCAAAUAAAAGAAAAAAGAGAAGAAAUGAAGAAUAGGGAGGAGAGGGAGAGACAAGAGGAGAAAAAGAGAG